rnacentral:rRNA from 1 species
AUUGAACGCUGGCGGCAUGCCUUACACAUGCAAGUCGAACGGCAGCACGGGUGCUUUCCCCUGGUGGCGAGUGGCGAACGGGUGAGUAAUACAUCUGAACAUGUCCUGUAGUGGGGGAUAGCCCGGCGUAAGCCGGAUUAAUACCGCCUACGAUCUCCCGGGGAAAGCGGGGGACCUUCGGGCCUCGCGCUCUGGGGUGGGCCGGUGGCGGAUUAGCUAGUUGGUGGGGUAAAGACCUACCAAGGAGACGAUCAGUAGCUGGUCUGAGAGGACGACCAGCCACACUAGAAGUGAGACACGGACAAGACUACUACGGGAGGGAGCAGAGGGGAACGUGGGACAACAGUCGAAAACCUGAUCCAGUAAUGCCGCGUGUGAUACGAAGGCCUUCGGGUUGUAAAGAACGUCUGUCCGGAAAGAACCCCUUGGACCUAAUACGGUCGGGGGAUGACGGUACCGGAAGAAUAAGCACCGGCUAACUACGUG